rnacentral:rRNA from 1 species
GACUGUACAAAGGUAGCAUAAUCAUUUGUCUUUUAAUUGAAGGCUGGUAUGAAUGGUUGGAUGAAAAAUAUACUUUCUUUUUUUUAUAUAAAAAAUUUAAUUUUUUGGUUAAAAAGCCAAAAUGUUUUUAUAGGACGAGAAGACCCUAUAGAACUUUAUUUUCUAUAUAUAUAAAUUUUAUUGAUUUUUAUAAAAUUAUAUAUUUAUGUUAAUUAUGUUGGGGUGACAGAAAAAAUUAUAUAACUUUUUCUAUUUUAGGCAUUUAUUUAUGUUUUGAUCUUUUAUUAAAAAAAUAGGAUUAAGUUACCUUAGGGAUAACAGCGUUAUUUUCUUUGAGAGUUCUUAUUGAUAAGAAAGUUUGCGACCUCGAUGUUGGAUUAAAAUAAGUGGCAGGGGUAGAAUAUUGCUUUACUAGGUCUGUUCGACCUUUAAAUUUUUACA